rnacentral:rRNA from 1 species
AUUGAACGCUGGCGGCAGGCCUAACACAUGCAAGUCGAGCUGAGCGGCGGACGGGUUAGUAAUGCCUAGGAAUCUGCCUGGUAGUGGGGGAUAAAGUCCGGAAACGGGCGCUAAUACCGCAUACUAUCAGAUGAGCCUAGGUCGGAUUAGCUAGUUGGUGGAGUACAGGCCUACCAGUACGACGAUCCGUAAAUGGUCUGAGAGGAUGAUCAGGCACACUGGAACUGAGACACGGUCAAGACUCCUACGGGAGGCAGCAGUGGGGAAGAUUGGACAAGGGGCGAAAGCCUGAUCCAGCAAUGCCGCGUGUGUGAAGAAGGUCUUCGGAUUGUAAAGCACUUUAAGUUGGGAGGCGUUACCAACAGAAUAAGCACCGGCUAACUUCGUGCCAGCAGCCGCGGUAAUUC